UACGUAGGGGGCAAGCGUUGUCCGGAUUUAUUGGGCGUAAAGAGCGUGUAGGCGGCCAGGUAGGUCUGCUGUGAAAACUCGAGGCUUAACCUCGAGAUGUCGGCGGAAACCAUCUGGCUAGAGUCCGGAAGAGGAGAGUGGAAUUCCUGGUGUAGCGGUGAAAUGCGCAGAUAUCAGGAAGAACACCAAUGGCGAAGGCAGCUCUCUGGGACGGUACUGACGCUGAGACGCGAAAGCGUGGGGAGCGAACAGG
rnacentral:rRNA from 1 species